rnacentral:rRNA from 1 species
UACGUAGGGGGCAAGCGUUGUCCGGAUUUAUUUGGGCGUAAAGCGCUCGCAGGUGGUUUCGUUUGCGUCGUGCGUGAAAGACCCCCGGCUCAACUGGGGGGAUGUCGUGCGAUACGGGGCGGACUGGAGGCCAGUAGGGGGGAUGCGGAAUUCCGGGUGUAGUGGUGGAAUGCGUAGAGAUCCGGAGGAACACCGGUGGCGAAGGCGGUUUCUCUGGGCCUUACCUGGACGCUGAGGAGCGAAAGCGUGGGGAGCAAACAGG